GCUAGUAAUGGCAGGUCAGCAUACUGCCGUGAAUACGUUCCCGGGCCUUGUACACACCGCCCGUCACACCAUGAGAGUUGGGAAUACCCGAAGCCUGUGAGCUAACUAUACGAGGCAGCAGUCGAAGGUAGAAUCAAUGAUUGGGGUGAAGUCGUAACAAGGUAAC
rnacentral:rRNA from 1 species